rnacentral:misc_RNA from 1 species
UCUUGAAAAUCGUCGCCGUCGUUCAAUGAAGGAACAAGGUGCGGCGCCACCGUGUAAACGGCGUAGCCGCUUCUCGUUCGUUUGGCCUGAUAGAGCGCCUGAUCGGCGCGGGCGAGCAAUUCGUCCGGUGCGAGCGCGUCGUCCGUCAGCAGCGCAAUGCCGACGCUGGUGCCGAUCUCGAUGGUGUAGCCGUUGACGCUGUAA